GCCUGGCUGGCUCAGUCGGUAGAGUGUGCGACUCCUAAUCUUGGGGUUGUGAGUUCAAGCCCCAUGCUGGGUG
rnacentral:tRNA from 1 species